rnacentral:rRNA from 11 species
ACGAGUGGCGCACGGGUGCGUAACGCGUAUACAAUCUACCUUUUACAGGGGGAUAGCCUUUAGAAAUGAAGAAUAAUACCCCAUAGUAAGUCAUUAUGGCAUCAUAGUGAUUUUAAAGUUUCGGCGGUAAAAGAUGAGUAUGCGUUCUAUUAGCUAGAUGGUGUGGUAACGGCACACCAUGGCAACGAUAGAUAGGGGCCCUGAGAGGGGGAUCCCCCACACUGGUACUGAGA